UACGGGGGGAGCAAGCGUUGUUCGGAUUUACUGGGCGUAAAGGGCGCGUAGGCGGCCACCGCAAGUCGACUGUGAAAUCUCCGGGCUUAACCCGGAAAGGUCAGCCGAUACUGCGGGGCUAGAGUGCAGAAGGGGCAACUGGAAUUCUCGGUGUAGCGGUGAAAUGCGUAGAUAUCGGGAGGAACACCUGUGGCGAAGGCGGCCACCUGGUUGGAUACUGACGCUGAGACGCGAAAGCGUGGGGAGCAAACAGG
rnacentral:rRNA from 1 species